rnacentral:lncRNA from 1 species
GCUACUUUUGUUAUUUAUUCAGAAUGGUUCUUAUUGUAUAUUUAAAUAAAGGCUUGCUACCCCAUAAAAAUACUACCAACAGAAAAAUAAUCUAUUAUUUAUUCAGAGAUUAGCAAAAAAUAAGUCACUAAUGUUCAAAAAUGAUGAGUGAAACUCAAGAAAAAUGUAGGGAUAUGGUUUAAAAGUCACAAUUGGUUUGAUUAGGAUUGCUGGGACUUUAAGAAAAACUUCACUCCCAUUAUGUAGUAAGCCAUUCUGAGCUACAUAAUGCAGUUGACCAGCUGUGAUGGGCUUGUUGACGAGGAUGGUGUGUUUAAAAAAAGAAGGCAGGCAGGAUCUUGCUUGGGGGAAGAAGAAAUAGAUUUGCAUAUGGUUUAGACGGCACUAAGUGUGUGAUAAAAAGUCUUGAUGAGUAGAGAAACCUGCUGGGAAGAAAAAGAAAGUAGAAUUAUAGGAGUUCUAGGCCAUCUUUACUUUACAUAGAUGAUGUGCAAAGCAAUUAAUUAUCAGCAAAGUAGUCCACAGAGAACUUUUAUGGAAAAACUGCAAAUGAAUCCUCUUUUUCUUGUGUUGCAAAAUUACUUGUACAGAAAAUGUCAUUUAUAUGAUGUUACUCAGAGAGAAACUGAAUGAGCAGAGUUCCUUCAAUUUUCAUUGUUAUAUUGAAAUGGAUGAUCAUCUUGCAUUCCGCUUUCAAAAAGAAAUAUCUCAAUAGACACAUCUGAAAAAUAAAGAAAUUGCCUUAGAGUGCUUCAAAAAUAUAUUCUGAUUAAGUCAUAGGUUAAAUGUAAAAAAUAUCUACUUUAGUUGUAAACAAAAUCAAUGUAUUGAAAUAGAUAAAGGCUGAAAAUUAAUACCAAGAAAUAGCUUGGAACGAGUUGAUCACAGGACUCCAUAUUGUUUAAUUGGCUAACAUGUGACUCGAAUAAUUUGUAAUGAUCAUGUUUUUGAUCUAAAAUGUUAAGCUUGGCCAGUGUUUCAUGAAUGCACUCUAUAGCUAUACUAUUUUGACCUGUGGUUUCCUUAUACGCAAGGCAAAAACUCCAUCAUACUAUAGUAAGACUAAAAAUCUAACCCUUUGUUUCCCAACUUGUGUGUCUAUUAUCAAGCAUAGAGCUGAAUGAUCUUAUAAGGUAUGGCCACUGUAAGGUUUCUAAAGAUGGCUUUAAAUAUGUAAUUAGAGCUCAGCUUUUCUAAGCUGAAUGCCUGAAAAAGAGGACACUGGACUUUAUGUUUCUAAAGAUUUAUAGGGAUACCUGUACUGAGCAAAGAAAUAUUCAAAGAACCCAUUAAUUGGUACCAAAUGGGACAGACAGCGUCGCAGAGAUCAUCUAGCGCAGACUGAUGCUAUCCAGAGACACAUGCUUCCCUAAGCGUACUGCCACAUUGCUAUAGUCUUGGACUGGCUUAGCAGCUAUGGCUUCGUGCUCUACUGAUUCAACUAUAUUACUUCUGGCUUUGCUACAAAAUGCAAAUGCUCCCACCCCCUUUCAUUUUAAUUUCUGUCGGGUUGUCAAACCCUUCUUCAGUCUUUGAAAUUGUUAUCCUCAUCUCUGUUGAAAGACAGUGAAACUAGGACUUGUGAGAAUCAGCAGUAAUAUUUAUGAAAAGCAGGAUACAGAAAUUCUUACAAUUGAAACAUAAUAAGAUUCCCUGAAAAUACAAGUAAAUGGUGUAAAAGUAAGCAAUACACGGACCUAUUAGUAUUGACCAUAUUUAUGCUAAUGCUCAUAUAACUCAGCCAGGGAAUGAAGAAUUUGUCCUCUUUUUAAAAAAUAUAUUCUUUUUCUGCUUAAAUCAUUAGUAUUGCAUAGAACAUGCUAUUCUAAUCAGCUUUAGUAGAAUGCAAAUAAAAUAUGCAGUUUCCUAUUCUCUUUCUCAUAUUCCACCAAUACGGAUAUGGUAAUUCAAUCUGAUGGAAUACCAGGUGUCCCAUUGUGUAAAAAUGUUUUUAGUCAUAAAGUGAAUGAAAAGUUCAAUUUUCCGUUAGUAUUUUCCCCAUAAUUUUUUAUAGAAUCAUAUUUUCCUUUAUGCUGUUUUUUCCCAUAGCGUGCUUACGCAAUAGCCCAUCUGCAAUGCACAACUAAUGACAUGCAAGGUGUUUCAUUAGAGUGUGCUUUAGUUAUGAUAUCCCUGCUUAAUAAACAAAAAUGCCCUACUUUCUCAGAUGUUUUACUGAGACUGAUUACUUCCUUACUAGUUACAAUUUAUGGAAAAUGCAGUCUCUUUCAUCCCUCUUACACAGGAGUAACCAAUCCUGGGACAUCUCCACUGAAAGAUUACUAGAUACUGUACAGUAAAAUCUACAGUAACCAGUGAUUGUACUGCCUUCCAAUCUAUUAGAGAGCCAUUUCUUAGCACAAGCUUGUGUGGUGUCUGGUUGUGAAUCAUGAGGUUCCUCUGUAUGAAUCUUCUGUUUCCCUCCCCUGUACCUCUCCAGAAUAGCUUCUCAUCUAUGUUCAGCACUGUUGGCAUUGUUACCAGGUUAGCCAGGCUUUAAGAUACUUUUUGCCAAAGUCAAGCACAGCCAAAAUAAGCUGCUGCUUUCUGACUCUUGUUCUUGCUGUGUUCCAACCACACCGAUGUGAAGGAAGGAGAGAGAUUUUAAAUGGGGAACUUCAACACUUUUCUUUGAGCUAGAGAUGCCCAAGACUUUAGUUAACAUUUUCAUUCACUUUUUGGUUUGUCAGCCUGGAAAAAAUGGCUUGGGCUCUUAUUUUGAGCUCAUUAUAUUUGCAGAAAAUAAACAAGGGAUAUGAAGUGCGGAAAUGCCACUUAGCACUCCUGUACUCUUCUCCCCUUCUACUGGUAUGCUAGGUAUUGCAAAAGACCAAAACCUUGUUAUAAACUUAAAUUUAAUAUACAAGGUGGGGAUAUCUAAGCUAUCUGCCAUUGCCAAAGGUUUUAUGAAUACAGUAAUAUGAAUUAUAUUUAGCAAAGUAUUUCACAUUCCAAGGAAGUGAACCUUGAUCUUUUAUGGCACAUGGGACAAUAAAUCUUCAGACCACAUUUUUUGACCCAAACACUUAUGAAAACUUCUCUUACAGCGAAUUCAUGGGUUGAAGGAUACUGAAGAAACAGGGCCACUGGCUGUGACCCUGCAGACGCUGCCUGUAUGUAUACGACUGGAAAAGCGUUUGCAUAGCUACAGCGUAAUUUGUGGUGGAAGGAGGCCUCAUUACUCAGGUUUCCAUUAGAAAGGAAUGCUAGAUGGAUAGGCAUAGAGAGGGCAAGCACAGGUUUCCCAGGAUGCAUGUUCCAGGAACCAGGGCGUCUGGCUCCAUCACAUACCUGCCCUACAGAAUACAUGAGCCAUCAAUCUUCUGGAUGUCUUCCAACACACAGUUCAACCCUUCUUUUCACUAAAAGGGAAGAAAGAAACCAGCAAACUAAACUAUGCUGUCACUAUUCUGUCUGAAAUAGCUUUUGUUUGGUUUUGGGCACCUUGUUGGCUAAAGACUUCAUUUCCAUUUCUCUACAAUUUCUAAGACAAAAAUCUGUGUUUAUUUUAAAGGAAACUUUAUUGAUCUCUGCUCUGGCGGUUCUAAGAAACUGUUUAGGAGUCAGCUGGGAAUGUGCAACAUGCUCUUAAAUGCAAUCACAAUGCCCCUUUUGGUCUGCCCUUUCCUACCCACCACUCAGCCAACAUGUGAGAAACAAGGGAGAGAAAGGGUACAAGCCCAGGGUUCCUCAUUCAAGUCACACCUGUGGUCCAAAGACAAUCUGCCUCUUCUGUUGUUCAGUAUGGGGCGUUUUGCUAAGUAUAUUUCAAUAUGACAAGUAUCUCAAUAAACUGAAAACACACUUCAUCAUCUACCUUACUUUUGCAUCUGUAGGGGUGAAUCGAUGACAUUUCCAGCAUUUUUCCCCAUGGAAAGAAGACAAAAGACACAUUAGAAGUCUAAGGACAUCACAGGCAAGCUGCAAGCUGAGGAAUGUGUAUAGAAAUGAGUCAGGUUAGUAGCCGCUUUGGGCAGCACCAUUCACAUGGAGUAUCAGGCACUAAAUCAUAUACAAACAUGAUCAGGAAAGAGUUCUGCUCUCACGUUAUGGGUUAUUACAAUCAACUCAUUGGAAAGGUUCUUUAAUACUAGAGAAACCAGUUCCAAUUUAUGUUAUUAUUAUCAUCAUUAUCAUCAUCAUCAUUCUCAUUAUUACUGCCUCACAAUAUUUUCUAUAUAGCUUGGCUUGCUUAUCCCUAACAAUUAGCAAAGUGACCUGCCUUCUACUUUGUACAAUCCAAGCACCAAAGAGCCUUGACAAUCAAUUUCUGAAGUGACUGAGCAGCAGAAUUGCACAGCAAGUGUACAUACUGAAAUGGUGAUGAUUUGUAGGGCUUUGUAAAUCACACAGUUAAAAAAAAAAAAUAUGAACAAUCCAUCAGCUUUUCUAUCAAACUAAGAGGAGGAACUCAGAUUUGACCUACAGGAUGUCUGAAUUUACAGACUUCUUUUUACAACUAACUGAAAUGUUGCAAGCACAAAGUGAUAAAUGCAUUCAGCACAAGAGAAUGCAUUGUUUUCUGUUCUAAUUACUUUAUAGCCUUUCAAGUGAGAGGUCAAAGAAGUAGGCUGAUUAUCUCAAAAAAUUUAAUUAGCAAAAAGUGUUAUUAACUGAGGUCCUUCUUUGUUUGAGAGCAGCAAACAAUGCAUUUCAGAGGUCAACAGUUGAAGGAAACUGAACAAUUAAAACCACUUAGAAGUCCUUUGGGGUCAGUUACAAUUCAUUACAUUUUUGUUCCAGAUCGGCUUACUUUGGCACAUCCACAAUACUCCAGUAUCUUGAGAGUAUGCUUUAGGAACCUUAAUAUCUUAGUUCUUCUCUGAUGUACAGGGAAGCUGGUGGUACUGCAUAUGGUAGUGCUCCAGAAAUGUUACCUUCAGAGCAGCAAAUAUCUACUCACUGUCUUGACUACUGCUCAUCUUAAACAGCUUCAGAUGAAGCAGCUACUAUUACAUUGGAGAGGUUACUCUAUCAAAUCCAGCUAACACUUUCAUUUAUAAUACUUUCUAGCAGCCUGCUCUUGACAGUGACGUUCCCCUCUGUGGUUUGCUGCAGUGCUUCAGUAUGUGAAAAGAACACAACCCCUAGGUGAAACAUUCUGUUCUUGUGGAAAUCCACUUCAGAGUCAAAAUCACCCUUUCCCAAACAGGGUUCAUACUGUACAAGUAUCGUGGUUGAACCCCAGCCACUAACUCAGCACCACACAGCCAUUUGCUCACCCCACCAUUUUCCCCCCUCCCCGGGUGGGAUGGGUGGUAGAAUCAAAGGAAUGUAAAACCUGCAGGUUGAAAUAAGAACAGUUUAAUGACUAAAGUACAAUAUACUACUACUACUAUUACUAAUAAUAAUAACAAUAAGGGAAAUAACAAGGGGAGAGAAUAUAAAUCUAAAAGUGGAAAGGAAAGAAAAACAGUGAACACAAGUGAUGCACAAUACAAUUGCUUACCUCUUGCUGACC